ACCCGUACGGGCGGGAGGCUCGGGCGGGCGCCCUGGCGCGGGAGUCGGGUGCAGGCGACCAGGAGGGGUCGGCCGCGGCGUUCGGACCCGGUAACUUACAAGAUUAAAAUUAAAUUUGGUUGACGAUGAUUCUGAAUACGCUGUUUUAUUUGAGGUAUGCCAUUUUGAAGACCGAGACCAUGGAAUUUUAUCCUUGAGGAUAAAUCUUUGUGAUAGUCUCUAUUUUGUAUAGCAAGAAUAUGAAUCCUGAAGCUGAAUUACCUAAGGGGCCUCUACACCGAAGUGAAAUAGAUGUUGGUGGAAGCAUUUACACCCAGUCAGCUUGAAGAGUCUCAAAUGGACCCUACCACUGAGAAAUCAAGAUGGCAGUCCACUAUGGGGAAUUGAGAAAAAUGGAUUAAUACAAGAGUGCUGUGAUAUUAUACAACCAAGACAGGGUUCUUUUAACAUGGAUUUCAUGAAAUGAAUGAAGAUAUAGGUUUCUUAACAGCACAAAUGGACAGUGAAUUUCACUUUCUAGAGACUUUUUGUAUCGUUAAUAUUUUUGACAUUUGGAGAAAAAGAUGGCACAUUAUUAACAGAUGAUAGUUUGUAUGCCUGGAAUUUUUUCAGUUUGAUUUGUAUGAGUAUGACCUUGUGGAAUGUUAACUUUAAUAAAAUU